UAUUUGUUGAUGUAACGGGCAUAAAAGAUUUUGAUUCUUUAGGAGUUAGUGCAAUUCUAUCACAGAUAAU
rnacentral:tRNA from 1 species